GGAUGCGAUCAUACCAGCACUAAAGCAGCGGAUCCCAUGAGAACUCCGAAGUUAAGCAUGCUUGGGCGAGAGUAGUACUAGGAUGGGUGACCUCCUGGGAAGUCCUCGUGUUGCAUUCC
rnacentral:rRNA from 16 species